rnacentral:lncRNA from 1 species
AUAUAGGAAACACACUACUACAGCAGCCUAUGAGAGGAGACAUGGCUGAUCGCUUUGCCCUGGAUAACCAGCUAGUGUGUGCUUCUCCGGAGAAGGCCACCUCUGCUGUUCCCAGUUUCCUUCCGUUGCCUGCAGUUGGUUGGGUAUGGAUGUAGACCUUGUAUGGAGAGCAGCACGGUCACAACGCCAGCUUUCUCCCUGCUGAGCUUCGUCACUGCAGCUUUGGAUUCCACUUCGGCUUCUACAAGACUUGUCGUGUGAGUCUCACUCUGUGGCCUACGCUGACCUAGGGUCAUGCCACCACCUCCGCCUACUGAGUGUAAGAGACACAGGCAUGAGCCAUCACACCUGGUUUUAUUUCAGGUAAACCGAGUCUUUGUUCUUUGGAAGCAGACAAGCACAAAUACAACGUGUAUCAAGAAUAGAUGUGGGGGUUUGAACGACAGUGGGCACAUAGGGCUUCAAAACUGUGUUGAGCAAUUCAGGCUUAGAUCAACAGUUAGUUAAUGGGACCUCAUGAAACCAAAAAGUGUCUAUAGGGCAAAGGACACUGCCAAAAGGACAAAAUGACAGUUUGCAGAGUGGUGAAGCUUUUCACUAGCCCUGCAUUCGACGGAAGGCUGACACCCAAAAUAUACAAAGAACUCAAGAAAAUAGAUAUCAACAAACNAAAUAAUCCAAAUAAAAAUGGGGUACAUUGCUAAACAGAGAAUUCUCAGCAGAGGAAUCUCUAAUGACUGAGAUGCACUUAAAGAAAUGUUCAAUAUCCUUAGUCAUCGGGGAAAUUCAAAUCAAAGACUCUGAGAUUUCAUCUUACGGCCACCAGACUGGCUAAGAUCAAAACCUCAAGUGACAGCUCGUGCUGGCGAGAAUGUGGAGCAAGGGGACAUUCCUCCAGUACUGGUGGGCAAAUAAACUCAUACAACCACUCUGAAAAUCAAUUUGGCAGUUUCUCAGAAACUGGGAAUAGUUCUACCUCAGAACCAGGCUGGUCCACUUCUGGGCAUGUACCCAAAAGAUGCCUCACCAUACCACAAGGGCACCUUCUCCACUGUGUUCAUAGCAGCUUUAUUCAUAAUAGCCAGAGAUUGGAAACAAUCUGCAUGUCCCAAGACUGAAGAACGGUUAAAGAAAACGUGGUUCAUUUACACAAUGAGAUGCUACUCGGCUAUUAAAAACAAGGACACCAUGAAAUUUGUAGGCAAACGGUUGCAACGAGAUAAUAUUCUGAGUAAAGUAACCCGGACCCAGACCUGUCUCUGGCCUCUCCUCCAUCCCCCAUGUUCCCAGCCAGCCUUUUCCUCCUCUGUCUCUGUCUCUUUCUCUCAAUUUCUCUCUGUGUGCCCUUCUUGUCCCCUCUCCUUCUCUGCCUCUACUACCUUCUCAAUCUCCCUUCCCAUGCCCCCAAAUAAACUCUAUUUCAU